UCCCGGGUAGCUCAGCCGGCAGAGCAAGUGGCUGUUAACCACUGGGUCGGGGGUUCAAAUCCCUCCCCGGGAGCCA
rnacentral:tRNA from 1 species